rnacentral:lncRNA from 1 species
UCUUCUUCGUUCUCUUCAUUCGCAGCAUCCUCUUCUUCCGCAAGCGCCCGAUCUCGAACUUCAGUGGCUUCCUUGGGGUACUUGCGGGCCCAGUCAUGGACAUCUGCAGCCUCGAAACCAGGGCAAACAUGAGGACCCAGGUCAACCAAGUCAUUAUAAUCUCGCACGUUGACAAGAUAGUCAGCUUGGAGUGUCUCCAGAUGGUUGACCACACGUUGAAG